rnacentral:rRNA from 1 species
CCUACGGGAGGCAGCAGUGGGGAAUAUUGCACAAUGGGGGAAACCCUGAUGCAGCGACGCCGCGUGAGUGAAGAAGUAAUUCGUUACGUAAAGCUCUAUCAGUAGGGAAGAAACACUGACCUUACGGUCAGCAGACGGUACCUGAGUAAGAAGCCCCGGCUAACUACGUGCCAGCAGCCGCGGUAAUACGUAGGGGGCAAGCGUCAUCCGGUUUUACUGGGUGUAAAGGGAGCGUAGACGGUGCGCCAAGUCUGGAGUGAAAUGCCGAAGCUUAACUGCGGAACUGCUUGGGAAACUGGCGAACUAGAGUGCGUGAGGGGUAAGCGGAAUUCCUAGUGUAGCGGUGAAAUGCGUAGAUAUUAGGAGGAACACCGGUGGCGAAGGCGGCUUACUGGACCGUAACUGACGUUGAGGCUCGAAAGCGUGGGGAGCAAACAGGAUUAGAUACCCGAGUAGUC